rnacentral:rRNA from 1 species
CCAAUAGCGUAUAUUAAAGUUGUUGCAGUUAAAAAGCUCGUAGUUGAAUUUCGAGAUCAAAUUGUUGGUCGUGCCUUGGUACGCACUGGCAUUAUUGGUUUCUCCCUUCUGACGAACCAUGAUGUCAUUAAUUUGGUGUCAUGGGGAAUCAGGACUGUUACUUUGAAAAAAUUAGAGUGUUUAAAGCAGGCUCACGCUUGAAUACAUUAGCAUGGAAUAAUGAAAUAGGACGUUUGAUUCUAUUUUGUUGGUUUCUAGGAUCGACGUAAUGAUUAAUAGGGAUAGUUGGGGGCAUUAGUAUUCAAUUGUCAGAGGUGAAAUUCUUGGAUUUAUUGAAGACUAACUACUGCGAAAGCAUUUGCCAAGGAUGUUUUCAUUAAUCAAGAACGAAAGUUAGGGGAUCGAAGACGAUCAGAUACCGUCGUAGUCUUAACCAUAAACUAUGCCGACUAGGGAUCGGAGGAUGUUAAUUUUUUAAUGACUCAUUCGGCGCCUUACG